GACGAACGCUGGCGGCGUGCUUAACACAUGCAAGUCGAACGGAAAGGCCCUGCUUUUGUGGGGUGCUCGAGUGGCGAACGGGUGAGUAACACGGGAGUAACCUGCCCUUGACUUUGGGAUAACUUCAGGAAACUGGGGCUAAUACCGGAUAGGAGCUCCUGCUGCAUGGUGGGGGUUGGAAAGUUUCGGCGGUUGGGGAUGGACUCGCGGCUUAUCAGCUUGUUGGUGGGGUAGUGGCUUACCGAGGCUUUGACGGGUAGCCGGCCUGAGAGGGUGACCGGCCACAUUGGGACUGAGAUACGGACCAGAAUCCUACGGGAGGCAGCAGUGGGGAAUAUUGCACAAUGGGCGGAAGCCUGAUGCAGCAACGCCGCGUGCGGGAUGACGGCCUUCGGGUUGUAAACCGCUUUCGCCUGUGACGAAGCGUGAGUGACGGUAAUGGGUAAAGAAGCACCGGCUAACUACGUG
rnacentral:rRNA from 1 species